rnacentral:rRNA from 1 species
CCUACGGGUGGCAGCAGUGGGGAAUAUUGCACAAUGGGGGAAACCCUGAUGCAGCGACGCCGCGUGAGUGAAGAAGUAUUUCGGUAUGUAAAGCUCUAUCAGUAGGGAAGAAAAAUACGGUACGUGAGUAAGAAGCCCCGGCUAACUACGUGCCAGCAGCCGCGGUAAUACGUAGGGGGCAAGCGUUAUCCGGAUUUACUGGGUGUUAAGGGAGCGUAGGCGGUAUGGCAAGUCAGAAGUGAAAGCCCGGGGCUCAACCGCGGGACUGCAUUGGAAACUGUUAGGCUGGAGUGCAGGAGAGGUAGGUGGAAUUCCUAGUGUAGCGGUGAAAUGCGUAGAUAUUAGGAGGAACACCGGUGGCGAAGGCGGCUAACUGGACUGUAACUGACGUUGAGGCUCGAAAGCGUGGGGAGCAAACAGGAUUAGAUACCCGGGUAGUC